UGGGUUGUUAGCUUUCUACUAGGGAUAGUUGAUGUUCUAUUAGCAUAGUGCGAGAACAUUAGCUUGAGGAGCAGCUCAUCUUCAUCUUUUGUUGAUAACGGGUGGGAAUUCUUUCAUUUUGAGCUUGAUAAAUUUUGGGUGAAAGUAAAAAUUGGGGAGUUCAGUAUAUCUUGGAUAUUUCCUACUUAUAUUAGUCUUAUUUUGUCCAAGAACUUAGAUUGGAGGAAGCCUGGCCGAAAGCAGGGGAGGUUAGGAUUGUACCCAAGUUACUAGUAUUCAAUAUCCAGUAACUUCACCAACUCAACCAGCUGACACGCUCACUUCUACUAGUCUAAUUAUAAUUAUGAAAACAAUAGAAAGAGUAAUCGCGUCGUUAUGUUCCUGUAUAAACUGAAUUAGAGAAGAAAUCCCGAUUGAAGAUUUUUGCGCUUAUUGUAGUCUCGUUCAACUGAAUUAACGAUUUUCCCAAAGUUCCGCUGUUGCUGUUGUUCCUCUGAGAAACGGGAGAUUAAAUAGAAUAAUUUACCUUGUCCUGAGUUGGUCUUA
rnacentral:lncRNA from 1 species